AUACAACCUAUUAUUAUAAUAGAUCUAUAAUGCGUAGUAAAAAUAAAAAGCGAGAUUCAUUUUACAGGUGUAAAAUUUUAUGAGGAAAAAAGAGAGACCCACACGCAGGAAGGAAGGGAGAGAGAAAGAGAGAGAGACAAAGAGGCAAAGAAAGAGAGAGUAGCCAAAGAGCAAGAAAGCAGAUGUAAAAUGGCAUCAACUGGAAUUUUGAGCAUUAUAUUCAGCAGAGCACUUAGAGACCGAGGAGAAAAGAAAUCUGUGCUGUGAACAGAGGAACUCAUGAUAUCAUGACAAGAAUCUCAACUUUAUGCUUUCAGAUUUCAAGUCACACAAUUUUCUCCAUGAAGGUUCCCUACUGGAGGCUGAGGAAAGGAAGGGACAUAGAUGAAGCUGGAAGCCAUCAUUCUCAGCAAACUGGCAAGAACAGAAAACCAAACACCGCAUGUUCUCAGUCAUAUGUGGGUUAAACAAUGAGAACACAUGGACACAGGGAGGGGAACAUCACACACCAGGGCCUGUUAACGGGUGAAGGGGCUACAGGAGGGAUAGACAGCAGUGGAUGGGGGAUUGGGGAGGAAUAACAUUAGGAGAAAUACCUAAUGUAGAUGAUGGAGUAAUGGAUGCAGCAAAUACCAUGGCACGUGUAUACCUAUGUAACAAACCUGCAUGUUCUGCACUUGUACCCCAGAACUUAAAGCAUAAUAAAAAAGAAAGAAAGAAAAAAUGAUAGAAGGUC
rnacentral:lncRNA from 13 species